CAGCAACAGCAGGGCCAAGGUCUUGUGACAAUGUCUGGAGGUGCCCCUAUUGUCACACUGGGGGUCUCCUACUGGCCUGCAAUGGGAGGAGGGGCUGCAGCCCCACAUCCUGUGCAGAGUGCUAGUGCUGAGGCGGAACCCUCCUCAGAGCUGCCCCUUCUCCUCCAGGUUGUUACCCCUUCUACAAAACUGACCCGUUCAUCUUCCCAGAGUGCCCGCAUGUCUACUUUUGUGGCAACACCCCCAGCUUUGGCUCCAAAAUCAUCCGAGGUCCUGAGGACCAGACAGUGCUGUUGGUGACUGUCCCUGACUUCAGUGCCACGCAGACCGCCUGCCUUGUGAACCUGCGCAGCCUGGCCUGCCAGCCCAUCAGCUUCUCGGGCUUCGGGGCAGAGGACGAUGACCUGGGAGGCCUGGGGCUGGGCCCCUGACUCAAAAAAGUGGUUUUGACCAGAGAGGCCCAGAUGGAGGCUGUUCAUUCCCUGCAGUGUCGGCAUUGUAAAUAAAGCCUGAGCACUUGCUGAUGCG
rnacentral:lncRNA from 1 species